GCCCCUCGGCACAGUGGGUCAGUACAUCUUGCUGUUAACCAGAAGGUUGGUGGUUCAAGCCCAACCAGGGAUG